AAAGUGGAUCCAAAAUAUGAAGAGAAAUGACUUACGGGAUAAGUCAACCGAUUGUCUCUAUAAUAAAUAUAUAAUCUGUUCAGAGAUCAUUUUGAGCAAUCUCAGAUUAUGUGUACAGGCAGACUGGUGUGGAAUGCCGUCCCAACUAAACUUGAAAUUCCGAUUCAAAGAACAACCAUAAAGCGUAAACUACAAUUUACAAAUGAGGAAGGCUACACAAUUGCUAAAAUAAUUAAAUUUUGUUCAGAAGAAGACCAUAGCUAUGCAAAGGAUUAUUCAUUGGAAAAUUAACCAGACGAACAAACAAGCACUGGAAGUCACUCCAGUAUAAUAGAACCAGAACCCAAAGCACCUUUGGAGAUUACAGAAGAUACUACUCUUGACACACAAGUGGAUGUACUUUCCAAUAAAGAAAGGAUAGACCAGAGUCAUGAAAAACCGAAUAGGCCUACAUUAGAUAGGGAGCCAAACGAACACUCGACCUUUGGAAAUAACUCCAGCACGAACGAACUAGAAACUGAUUCUUUAAAAAUUACAGAAAAAAGUAUUCCUUCUGGCACACAAGUGGACGACCACAGCUAUGCAAAACAUAAUUUAUUGAUAAAUGAGUCAUACCAGCAAUCGUCCAUUCGGGAUAACUCCAACACAAAUAAACAAGAGCCUGGUAAGGGUACACAAAAGGAUGCUCCACGCAGGAAGACAAGCUGCUGGCCUUCGCACUUCACAACCAAAGCCCGAAGGCUCAUAAAUUUUGUCGGAAGAUUUUUGCACUGCCAACUAAGUAUUGGAAACUUAUCGAUAGAUGAUGAGACAAUGCGAACACCUACUGCAUAACAUUGAAGUCGCAGUAGUGGAAGGUGAAAGAGUUGCAGAAGAAGAACCAACAGUUGCUGGUAAAGUAGAGGGAACCCACAAAAGAGAAAAAUUCCCCCAAGUACACCACUAAAAUUAAAAUGGUGAAAACCAAAGAUGUAAAUUCUAAAAUAAUGAAGUACAGUAUUUGACAGCAAAGAAGGAAAAAGAUCCAUUGGCCAGUUUUUUUGAGUCUAUAAAACAAACUGUGUACAGACUUCCCAAGUCCAAGUCAAAAAAAAAAUAGUAAUGUUUAAUUUCAUUCAUUUCUUAGGCACGAGUGCCAAGAAUAUGCCAAUAAGUGAACUUAAUCGCUAUCCUACAUGGCAUAUCUAUUAAACGACCGGACUGAAUGAUGCAGUACACCGGGGUAACCCCUACUCUUCUCUGAGGAUGUACUGAGUUCUUUAAAGUGCACACGAGCCAAAUGUGUACGUCGGGCCUACGCUUUAAAGUCCUUAUCCGAGAAGACUUGUUCCACCACAGGAACCAUUGGCUUGAAUAAUAAUAAUAUAUGGAUUAUAAUAUUUUAAUUACAUUUCCAAAUUUGAAUUCCACAUAGUGUGCUAAGUCUGGUUUAAGACGAGAAAAAUUUGUAUAUAAAUGUGAAAAUGUGAAUAAAUAAAAG